GGGACCGAGCAGUGCGCCAAGAAUCGGAUCGACUCAGUUGGCGGAUGUUUGUCGGUUUAGUUGGACGUUCCUGGGCAACGUAACGAAGACGUGUGCGUGUGUGUGUGUUGUGUAUUGAGGUUAAAGGUGAAAAAAUUACCCUUCUUCCGCUCUGUUGAACCAAACCAAAGACCCCCACCAGGACUCUAAGCUCUAACCUAGUGACGAUCGCUGAAGAUCAUCAGGGUGCGUUAAAACGGAAGAUCACCUGUAAGACCAAAAACGAUCCUCUCAUCUGCAUUGGCUCAAUCGUUCCCGAAGUGACAGUAGCAGCACAGCAGGAAGGAAUUUCGGUCUCGAGGAUUCUCGCCAUUUUUUUUUCUCCCUUGCUUGCGUGUGCGGUGAGUGGUCGCAAAGGAAUUUCGCUACGCCACGCCACUGCUCCCUGGGCAACAGUGCAGAGAGACACCGGUUUCGCGCGGAUCAGUGUGGUAUAAUUAAUCGCGUAGCAUUUGAAAUUCUUGAGUGCUGCGUUCGUUCUGGUGUGUUCGUGUCGCGCAUCGGCGGCUCCCCGGCCGGGAACAACAAGUGCGCGACGCCGGCGAAACAGUGUGCGUGUGUGCGUGCGUGCGUGAGUAGGCGGCGUUUGAAGCAAGCUUAACCGAACCGUCGGUGCCGUGUCCGUCCGUUCGGUGUGGACAUCUACAGGGAGACAAAAUGUCCGACCUGGACGAUAUGAGCAACUUCGAUGCGUGGUUGGAGAAGGACUUUCUGAGCAAAAUCAACCGGCUCGAGACGGAGGUCGAGGACCUGAAGGACAAGAAAAGCAAUCUCGACAAGGAUCUGAAGAAAAAGACGAUCGAGUGUGACAUCCUGCGGGCGAAGGUCGGGAAGCUGGAGCAGGUUCCCUCGAACAAUGCGGCCUCGAACGAAAAGAUUGAGACGCUCGAGAAGGAGCUGAAGCGGAAGACGAUGGAGCUGGACAUACUGCGCUCGAAGCUGUCGCAGGCCGAAACGAACCCGCAAGCCUCGCAGGACCUUACCGAGCGUGUGAAGCAGCUGGAGAAGGAGCUGAAGAAGCGCAUCAUCGAGAACGGCAUACUGCGGGGCAAGCUGACGGAGGUCGACAGUGAGCCACAGACGCCGGAAGCGCAGGAGAAGAUCGACGAGCUGGUGCGGGGUCUGCAGCGUACCGAGAGUGUGGUGCUGCGGGAGAAGGUGAACCAGCUGGAAGGCGAUUCGGAAGCGUCCGAACGGAACGGGGAGUUGGAGCGCGAGCUGAAGAAGAAGAACAUCGAGAGCGACAUCUUGCGGUCGAAGCUGAAGCAGUUCGAAAACACACCCUCGAACGCGCAGGAAGCGAGCGAGCGGAUGCGCGAUCUCGAGAAGCAGGUCAAGAAGUACCAGAUCGAGGCGGACAUUCUGCGGGCGAAGGUGAGCCAGCUGGAGAGUGAUGCGGCCACGCGCGAAACCGAAGAAUCGACCGAGCGCAUCGAGGAGCUGGAGAAGGGCCUGAAGAAGAGCACCACCGAGGGUAACAUGCUGCGGGCGAAGAUGCAAAUGUUUGAGAAGGAAUCGACCGCCACCCAGGACUCGAACAGUGAGCAGAUCGAGGAGUUGCGCAAGGGCCUGAAGAAGAGCACCACCGAGAGUCAGAUACUGCGCUCGAAGCUGACCGAGCUGGAAAGCAAACAGGUGCAGGGUGGUGCCAGCAGCUACAAGAUCGAAACGCUCGAGCAGGAGCUGAAGAAAAAGACCAUCGAGAACGACAUACUGCGGUCGAAGGUGGAGCAGCUCGAGCGCGUCCCGUUGGCCGACAGUCCGGCGAACGAGAAGAUCGAGGAGCUGCAGAAGGAGAUCCGCAAUCUGAAGAUCCAGAACGAUAUUCUGAAGUCGAAGCUAAAUCAGGCCGAGGACGAACCGACGACCACGCAGGAGUCGACCGACCGCAUCAGCGAGCUGGAGAACGAGCUGAAGAAGCGUACGAUCGAGAGCGACAUACUGCGGGCGAAGGUGACGCAGCUGGAGUGUGAGCUGUCGCCGACCAAGAACUCGAACGAGCGGAUAGAGGAUCUGGAGAGCGAGCUGAAGAAGCGGAUGCUGGAGAACGACAUCCUGAAGUCGAAGGUGAGCCAGCUCGAGGGCGAGCUGAUUGCGCACUCGGGCGGCGCCAAGGCGGACCCGAACGAGGUGAAGAAGCUGAAGGAAAAGCACGAGGAGGUGAUGAACAAGGCGAAGGAGCUGCUGUUCGAGCGCACCAAGACGGUCAAGACGCAGGACAUGCAGAUCAAGGCGCUCCAGAACCAGAUCGAAAACAUCAAGGAGGUGGUCGCGGUGACGAAGGACAUGCUGAACAUCCGGAACAUGGAGCACGAGCAGCUGCAGACGCGGUUCGAGAACAUCGACAGCAAGAUGAAGGCGGAACGGGAACGGCAGACGCUGCUCGAGAAGAAGCUGACCGUCUCGCAGAAGAUGUACAACGAUCUGCGGGAAGAGUACACGACACAGCUCGAGCUCUUCAAGAAAACGGCGGAUCGAGCUGGGAUUGAUUUUCCAUGCUUGAAAAAAACUGCACAUACAAAGAAAUGAUUCAAAUGAAAACAAAACAAUAAACUAUACCACUGACCAAACAGAAACUACUACUACCACCUAUGUCAACGGAGAGGAGUGUCUCUCUUUCGCUCUGCACUGUGCGCCUACUACUAAAUCAUUCUUGCACUACUCUACUACUACUACUACUACAUAUAUUCGCUUACGUUCUUAUUAUAUUACCAAUUUACGAUGUAACAACAACAAACUACAAACAAGACACUCCACACACGAAAAGAAAGUGAGGAAAUCCAGAAAAACUACGCCGAAAAGAUCGAACUCAUCAAGGAGGAAAUCGAAUCCGUCCGGAAUGGUGCCAAAAAUUGAUGCGUCCUGCUGCCACUGGCCGGACCACCAGCAGCUGCCCACGGUCACGGUGGAAGAUCAUCUUCGCAGCGAGCUGGAAGGACGAUCCUGCUGCUGUACUGUGCAAUAACUGAGAGCAGAAAUAAUUAAAAAAAAAUCCAUCGACGCCUCCUUCCUUUCGGUGCCCGGUGGUCCCGCUUGUCCAGCUGACCGUACCACAGGUCCACUCCACUCUGUGUUGAGCGCGUUGCGUGCGGAGGUUUUCCAUCUCCCCUCUCCCUCCAGCUAUCAUCUGUUUGCCCUCCCUUAUAAGCUGUAUUUACUGCAGAGCUGUACUUUGCACACGGUACCCCCACACGUCCCACAGGUUAGGCAAGAGCUACUAAGUUAACUUACUUAUAUUACGGAUGAGAAAAUAAAGAAAAAUAAUUUUUAUACCUUC